rnacentral:rRNA from 1 species
UACGAAGGGGGCUAGCGUUGCUCGGAAUCACUGGGCGUAAAGCGCACGUAGGCGGCUUUCUAAGUCAGAGGUGAAAUCCUGGAGCUCAACUCCAGAACUGCCUUUGAUACUGGAGAGCUAGAGUCCGGAAGAGGUGAGUGGAACUGCGAGUGUAGAGGUGAAAUUCGUAGAUAUUCGCAAGAACACCAGUGGCGAAGGCGGCUCACUGGUCCGGUACUGGACGCUGAGGUGCGAAA